GUAAGUUAUUGUUAUCAUUCGCAAAUAAUUUUACUUAUCUGUUUAACUAUCACAUGUUAUAGUAAAGUUAUGUAUUUUCUUUAUUCUUAUCAACUACUUUAGUAUUAAUGUGAAUUGCCAUCUAUGAAUUUGGCACGAACAGUUCUGUAAAAGAGGGACGAAAGAUACCAAAGGGACAGUCAAACUCAUAACUCUAAAACAAACCGACAACGCCAUGGCUAAAAAUGCAAAGACAAACAGAAAAACAACAGUACACAUGACACAACUGUAAUUUACUAGAUUUUCGGUUGUUUUAUUGUUUUCUGAAUGAGAUAUAGCUUACAAAAAUAUUGGACCAUGGGAGACUACUGAAAUGUUCUCAAAAUUAUUUUAAAGUCCUCAAAUAUCUGAGUCGGCGUAAAGCUACACCCAAUAAAUCAAUUGAAUAGUCAAAUUCACGAUAUGGGAGGCAACGUUAUAUACAUAGAAAUCAACAUGUUUUUAUAGAUAAAAACUGUCGCAUGCAAAAACAUACAUUAAGGAAAUUUUUGUUUUCACAACAUUUCAUUUCACAUUUAAACUAUUUUUGAGCAAGAAAAUGUGUGUUUAAAAAAAUUUAGAAUUUUUUGGUAUGUCCCUGGUAGAAUUCUGCUUUCCUAAUAGAUGUGCUUUAAGGGCAAAGCUUACUAGUUAAUCAAUGAUUUUAUUAGUUAUGUUGGUGUAAACCCCCUGAUUACACCAUGAUAACCAACGUAUUUCUUACAAGCGUUACUUUUUUACACCGGAUUGUAAAAAUUCAAAAUGAUAAUGAAGAAUGUUCAAUUCAAACUUUUUCAACACUGAUGUAUAUGCACAUAUAGUCAAAUUAUUUUUUAGUUUCGUAAUCUAUUUAUUUUAUUGGGGGGAAGGGGGGAAUAAAU
rnacentral:lncRNA from 1 species